CCUACGGGAGGCAGCAGUGAGGAAUAUUGGUCAAUGGGCGAGAGCCUGAACCAGCCAAGUCGCGUGAGGGAGUACUGCCCUAUGGGUUGUAAACCUCUUUUGUCGGGUAGCAAAAGCCGUACGUGUCCGGCUGUGCAAGUACCCGAAGAAAAAGCAUCGGCUAACUCCGUGCCAGCAGCCGCGGUAAUACGGAGGAUGCGGGCGUUAUCCGUAUUUAUUGGGUUUAAAGGGUGCGCAGGCGGAUUUUUAAGUCAGCGGUAAAAUCGUGGGGCUCAACCCCAUCCAGCCGUUGAAACUGGGGAUCUAGAGUGUGCGAGAGGUAUGCGGAAUGCGUGGUGUAGCGGUGAAAUGCAUAGAUAUCACGCAGAAUCCCGAUUGCGAAGGCAGCAUACCGGUGAACAACUGACGCUCAGGCACGAAAGCGUGGGUAUCGAACAGGAUUAGAUACCCCUGUAGUC
rnacentral:rRNA from 1 species